rnacentral:rRNA from 1 species
UAUACAUGCAGUCGAGCGGACAGAUGGGAGCUUGCUCCCUGAUGUUAGCGGCGGACGGGUGAGUAACACGUGGGUAACCUGCCUGUAAGACUGGGAUAACUCCGGGAAACCGGGGCUAAUACCGGAUGGUUGUUUGAACCGCAUGGUUCAGACAUAAAAGGUGGCUUCGGCUACCACUUACAGAUGGACCCGCGGCGCAUUAGCUAGUUGGUGAGGUAACGGCUCACCAAGGCCACGAGGCUUAGCCGACCUGAGAGGGUGAU